GCCGGGCGCCAUGGCACCGUGGGGCAAGCGGCUGGCUGGCCUGCGCGGGGUGCUGCUUGACAUCUCGGGCGUGCUGUACGACAGCGGCGCGGGCGGCGGCACGGCCAUCGCCGGCUCCGUGGAGGCGGUGGCUAGACUGAAGCGUUCCCGGCUGAAGGUGAGGUUCUGUACCAACGAGUCGCAGAAGUCCCGGGCAGAGCUGGUGGGGCAGCUUCGGAGGCUGGGAUUUGACAUCUCUGAGGAGGAGGUGACCGCCCCGGCACCAGCUGCCUGCCAGAUCCUGAAGGAGCGAGGCCUGCGACCAUACCUGCUCAUCCAUGACGGAGUCCGCUCAGAAUUUGAUCAGAUCGACACAUCCAGCCCAAACUGUGUGGUAAUUGCAGACGCAGGAGAAAGCUUUUCCUACCAAAACGUGAAUAACGCCUUUCAGGUGCUCAUGGAGCUGGAAAAUCCUGUGCUCAUAUCACUGGGAAAAGGGCGUUACUACAAGGAGACCUCUGGCCUGAUGCUGGACGUUGGUCCCUACAUGAAGGCGCUUGAGUAUGCCUGUGGCAUCAAAGCCGAGGUGGUGGGGAAGCCCUCUCCUGAGUUUUUCAAGUCUGCCCUGCAAGCGAUAGGAGUGGAAGCCCACCAGGAGACAGCUUUCUUUGUGCUUAUUGAAGCACUUUAACGAAGCAGUUUUCAUGGCUGCAUACUAUUCCGCUGUUCAGACUCCCGUCAUAUUCUUGACCAUUCCCUAUUGAUGGAGAUGAGGCUGCUUCCAAUUUCGCUCUUGUGCAUAACCCUGAUGAACACAUCUUAAAGCUGUGUCCGUUCACCUUCCUCACCUGCUGCAUAUACAGAUGCUUGUUUCCCCACAUCCUUACCAACACCAUGAUUUCUGGCUUUUUUUUUUUUUUUUUAAGUGGUCUUUGCGUUUUGCUGUUAGUCUUGUUCCUUAUGAAGGUGUCCGACCACAGUGGCAAUCACUCAGCAUCGCACUGCCUCCAGGUCUCUGUGGGAGCCUGGGUUCCUUUGGGUCCUGGAUCCAGGGCUUAUCCUAGAGUGAGCCGUCAUCUCAAGGCAUCUCCCUGGGGGAUAUGUGCCCCCCAGAGCUGCAGUUACAGACACUGAGCUUGCUCUACCUUCACCAUCCAGCCCUGCUGCUUCCCGCCCUAAUCCUCCUGGCAGAACUCCUGGAUAAGGAAAAUAUUUGUGAACCACAGAAGCUCUUUGGCGCUGGAAUUUUGCACUCCAAAGCAUCGCUGCCUGUUAGAUGACGUUUCCCUCCAGCACCUAGGACGUUGAAGAGGAGACCAGGGCAGGCAGGCAGAUGAGUAAGAGGGAGGAUUGACUGCUAUAGCACCCGACCCAGGACACCUGCCUCUGGGACUGUGGCGCCUCCCUCCAGCUCUCUAGAUUCUGGGUUCUGCGGUGUCCGACCUUUCAUUUUUUUCUCCCCCUCAUCCCCCACCAUGUCGUGUCUGAAAGGAAGCGAAGCCCAGCCCUGGCAGGUGGAGUAUUUUUAUUUCCCCUGACAGCGCACCUCCUGACCUCUAUCUUCUUGCCAGUGAUUUUUUAAAUCCUAAAUGAUUUGGCAAUAAUUGCUCCUCCUUGCGUGAUUAUUGCCCUUCACCGAUAGUAAAUCUGGGAAUCCCCCGGAGUCCUGAGCAUACUUUGGUAUGCGGAGCCCACAAGCUGGCCUGGACAGGCAUCACUGCUCCAGGCAGCUGUGCACUCAGCCGGCCCUGGCGUCCCGGCCCCCAGCCUCCGCCUCCCUCGCCGACAGCUUCCCAGGGCUCUGCCUGGAUGCAGCCUCGCUUUAUCCCGCAGAACCUCCACGCUGUUCCUGCAUGAGAACUCUUCCUCCAAGAGACCACAUUCCUCUGGUCCCGUCUCCGUGGGCCACAUCCACAAAUGUCCCACCCAGCCCAGGAAGAACCAAGUCUCUAUUCUGGGAGGGAAACCUGUGUGCUGUCUGGUUUUGUAUGUUGGAGGAGCAUGCACACAGUUUUAUUUUCCCCAGAAGCAUGGAGGUGUAGGAUGACAUGUAAUAUUUGGAAGACCCAUUCCAUUUCCAAGGAACCUUCUAGCAGGAUGGCCCUGGAGUCUCUGGCAGCAGUGGACAUGGUCCUGAAUUGGAGUGCUGUGAAUGUUCACCGCUGACCUCACGGUUUGAAGACAAUUCCUUGAGAAGGGCAGAGGGGACCCGAAUACGGGGGGUCUGGCCAGCCCUGCUACCAGAUGCCAGCAGCCAUGGGGGCUUGCCUGGCCAGCCCUGGCUUUUCCCAACCCUUAGAGUGCCCUUUGUGCAUGCAGCAGACACUGGUGCUGGUCCCAUUCCUGGGAGCACGCGGUGCCACUGGCUGUGUCUUGCCUGGCCAGGUGCUGGUUUGAUAGACACAGAAACCUCAUUUGGAUUUGGCAGGAUUUUCCCUAACAUCAGUCAUUCUGGAAAAAACACUUUGAAUUUUUAUCAUAUCUGGGUAUUUUUACCAUAUCUGGGUACUUGCCACUAGCUCUAUUUACUUCACAUUUCUUAAAAUUGAUUCAUUUUAUUACUUAAAUAAAUGUAUUUUAAAAGGAACUUUUGAUGACUACUAUAAAUGGAAAACCAGAAUCUCUCACUUACCAUAAUAGAUUAAUCUAAAAAUAAAGACCACAUGAUUGCAUUAAAAUG